rnacentral:rRNA from 1 species
AACGAACGCUGGCAGCGUGGAUUAGGCGAUGGCAAGUCGGACGGGAUCCGGCGGAUAGCAAGUAUUCGCUGGUGAGAGUGGCGGAUUGGGGAGGAGCACGUGAGCAACCUGCCCUGGAGAUGUGGAAAACCUCGGGAAACUGAGGCUAAUACAGAAUGUGGCGCCCCGCGGCAUCGCGGGAGCGCCGAAGGGGGCCGCAAGGCUCCCGCUCCGGGAUGGGCUCGCGCACCAUCAGCUAGUUGGCGGGGUAACGGCCCACCAAGGCCUACGGUUAGCUGGUCUGAGAGGAUGACCAGCCCCACUGGGACUGAGAUACUGCCCAGACUCCUACGGGAGGCUGCAGUCGAGGAUCAUUCGCAAUGGGCGAAAGCCUGACGAUGCGACGCUGCGUUGGAGGAUGAAGGCCUUCGGGUCGUAAACUCCUGUCAUGGGGGAAGAGGCGAGGGGGCCCAACACGUCCCUUAGUUGACUGUACCCCAAGAGGAAGCGACGGCUAACUCUGUGCCAGCCGCCGC